rnacentral:rRNA from 1 species
UUAAAGGAAUUGACGGAAGGGCACCACCAGGAGUGGAGCCUGCGGCUUAAUUUGACUCAACGCGGGGAAACUUACCCGGCCCGGACACCGUAAGGAUUGACAGAUUGAGAGCUCUUUCUUGAUUCGGUGGGUGGUGGUGCAUGGCCGUUCUUAGUUGGUGGAGCGAUUUGUCUGGUUAAUUCCGAUAACGAACGAGACUCUAGCCUAUUAAAUAGUCGGUAAAUCCUUUGUUUACUGUACUUCUUAGAGGGACAGAAGGCGUCUAGCCUUACGAGAUUGAGCAAUAACAGGUCUGUGAUGCCCUUAGAUGUUCGGGGCUGCACGCGCGCUACACUGAAGGAUUCAACGUGAUUUUUCACCUGUUCUGGAAAGAAUGGGUAACCCGUUGAAACUCCUUCGUGAUUGGGAUAGGGGCUUGUAAUUAUUCCCCUUGAACGAGGAAUUCCUAGUAAGUGCGGGUCAUCAUCUCGCGUUGAUUACGUCCCUGCCCUUUGUACACACCGCCCGUCGCUACUACCGAUUGGAUGAUUUAGUGAGGCAUUCGGACCGGCUCCAAAGCGACUUCACGGUUGCUUCGGGGAUUGGGAAGAUUUCCAAACUGGAUUAUCUAGAGG